rnacentral:rRNA from 1 species
GGGUUGUGAGGUUAAGCGACUAAGCGUACACGGUGGAUGCCCUGGCAGUCAGAGGCGAUGAAGGACGUGCUAAUCUGCGAUAAGCGUCGGUAAGGUGAUAUGAACCGUUAUAACCGGCGAUUUCCGAAUGGGGAAACCCAGUGUGUUUCGACACACUAUCAUUAACUGAAUCCAUAGGUUAAUGAGGCGAACCGGGGGAACUGAAACAUCUAAGUACCCCGAGGAAAAGAAAUCAACCGAGAUUCCCCCAGUAGCGGCGAGCGAACGGGGAGCAGCCCAGAGCCUGAAUCAGUGUGUGUGUUAGUGGAAGCGUCUGGAAAGGCGUGCGAUACAGGGUGACAGCCCCGUACACAAAAAUGCACAUGCUGUGAGCUCGAUGAGUAGGGCGGGACACGUGGUAUCCUGUCUGAAUAUGGGGGGACCAUCCUCCAAGGCUAAAUACUCCUGACUGACCGAUAGUGAACCAGUACCGUGAGGGAAAGGCGAAAAGAACCCCGGCGAGGGGAGUGAAAAAGAACCUGAAACCGUGUACGUACAAGCAGUGGGAGCACGCUUAGGCGUGUGACUGCGUACCUUUUGUAU